AACGAUGAAACUUAAAUGAUUUCUUCGGAAUGAACUUAAGUGGAUUAGUGGCGGACGGGUGAGUAACGCGUGAGUAACCUGCCUUACACAAGGGGAUAGCCGUUGGAAACGACGAAUAAUACCCUAUGAAACUAUCACUUCGCAUGAAGCGAUAGUCAAAGUGUUAGCGGUGUAAGAUGGACUUGCGUCUGAUUAGCUAGUUGGUGAGAAAAAAGCCCACCAAGGCAACGAUCAGUAGCCGGCUUGAGAGAGUGUACGGCCACAUUGGGACUGAGACACGGCCCAGACUCCUACGGGAGGCAGCAGUGGGGAAUUUUGCACAAUGGGGGAAACCCUGAUGCAGCGACGCCGCGUGAUUUAGAAGGCCUUCGGGUUGUAAAAAUCUUUUGUAUAGGAAGAAAAUGACAGUACUAUACGAAUAAGGUCCGGCUAAUUACGUGCCAGCAGCCGCGGUAAUACGUAAGGACCGAGCGUUGUCCGGAAUCAUUGGGCGUAAAGGGUACGUAGGCGGGUCAUUAAGUUAGAAGUCAAAGGCUAUAGCUCAACUAUAGUAAGCUUCUAAAACUGGCGACCUUGAGUAAUGGAAGGGAAAGUGGAAUUCCUAGUGUAGCGGUGGAAUGCGCAGAUAUUAGGAGGAAUACCGGUGGCGAAGGCGACUUUCUGGCCAUUAACUGACGCUGAGGUACGAAAGCGUGGGUAGCAAACAGGAUUAGAUACCCUGGU
rnacentral:rRNA from 1 species